CCGCAGGCAGGCGGGGCAGCAACAGCCAAUAUCCUUGUACAGACAACCUUCGCAUCCGGUUGCUACAGAAGCGGUCCUCCGCGCACAAGCCCUGUCCUCCAGGCCGGGACGCCCCGUGCUGGGGGCCUCCUUCCCGUGUCAGCCCUCAGCUGAGCCGGAUGCUGGGGCCCUCAGAGGCCUCCUCUGCUGCCGGUUAGGGGUGCGGAGUCUCUCCAAACCACUUCCUGAAUCUGCCCAGCGUCUCGUUUGCCACCAGAAUGAGUUGGUGAGACCCAGUGGCUGAAGAUGUGUGCUGCGCUCACAGGACAUCAAGAAAGCCAGGGGCAGGCCUCUUCCCCGGGCGCCUUCAUGAUGCCAGAGGUCCACGGAGGCAGCUGAGGGGACUGUCGUCAGCAGACCUUGCCAAAACAAAAGAACUGGACACCAGAGUUGCUGGAUCAAACCUGACAGAAUCAUUCUUCAGCAUGCUGAGACACUGACACUUCUGUUCCAGCAUCUUGCAUGUUCCAGCAUUCUGCUUGUACCUGCCUCAACUUCUUCAACUGCUGUUUCUCAUCAAAGCCUGCUCCCAAAAGAACUUUGAAGAAAGCUACUAAUUUUAACUGGUCCAGCAUUUUAGACUGUUCCAAAAAGGCCUUUUAUGAAGCCUGAAAUUUCUCAACAUUCAAAUGUUAUUGGACCACAAAUGUUAUUGCUUGCUUAAUUAACCAUUUUUAUUUGGGCCCCUACAGGAUUUCUACAUGUCCACAAUAUCAGCUAGAAGAAACUCA